CAAAAGUGAAUACAUCCCUUUUUGCCUCUGAAGAUCAUACCGUCUCACGGAGAAGGUGAUAUAUGAAUAGAAGAUAUUGGUACGUUAUUGUAAAGAGAUACAAUUACCACUAGUGAUAUGGAGGAGUAGACUACGACUUCAAAGUAGUGAGUCCUGCACGGUGUUUUUAUGCAGCUUUCCCUGACAUGUGACAUACCUUCUUGUCAGCAAUCGUCAGCUCCUCUGACCUCAAAGGCUUUCACUCUCCUAGUCCCAAAUUCCCAUAUUUGACAGAUGAGGACAUGGAAACCUGACUUCGACCUGAAGCUGGACCACAUGCAUUGUAUAGAAUGGGAGCACCACUCCGGGAAGCUCCUUGCCAUUGUCCAGGCGAGGAAAAUACAGCUGAGCAAUCCAAACGAGCCCAAACAGACGUCUUCCUGUACAAUGGCAGCCCCCUUGUCCCUGGGCUCUGGUUGUGUUUCAGUGUGAUUAGGCAUCAAAAGUCUUCCAGCUCAGCCCUCGAGCUGCCUUUCUUUCUGUGCUCGGCUUUGUGACGACAGUGGGUAAGCCUCUAAGGGAGCUAUACUGACAUCUUCUUUCUAGAUCUUGCUGACCUCCUUGCCUAGACUUCUAAGCACAGCCAAACGUUAAUAACACCACUUUUUCAUUAGCCAGUUCUUAGCGGCGCACUAUAUCAGGUAAACCCAAAUAAAAGUGCCAGGACAAAUAGUUCAAACACUCCAGUGUCUCCAAGUGGCUGUCCUACCUGUAGUUAAACUAAAAGGAAUGAUCGCUGCCUUCUCCCCUGGAGAGCUUUCACCAGUUUCAAAGUGGGCCAGUAACUCCCCGAACAGAAGAGGAAGCAAACUAUAUUUAAAACAGUGCCUGUGUGUUUCUGUUUUAGCCAUUUUGGCAAACCACUUGAAAAAUGAAAUCUUUUGGCCUAAACUCAGUUAAAUCUCAGAUGCAGUUACUGUGCCAAGAUAAUUCCAAUUUAGCAUCACCUCACAUUAUUUAAAGCUGUGAGUGAGGACGUAUUCAUAGGGGCCAUUGAAAAGGACUGGCUUGGAAUUCGGGACCUUGUGUGUUUGUCUUUGUUUGCUUGCAAAGGGGGGAUUGGAUAUCAAAAUAUAUGGUAAAGGGGGGUGGGGGAAAAAGGUAAUCCCCUGGUUUAUCCAGUCAAUGAAUAUCUUUUUGAGUACUUUGUGCCAGAGAGAUACCAUACUAGGUGCUAGAAAUAAAGCAAUAAAUAAGACCCAAUCUCUGCUCUCGAGAGGCUCGUGGGGAUUCAAAUAUUUAUAACCAAAAUGAGAAGUCCUGAAAAUACAAAGUGCUAAGUGGUGUAUGUGGGGCACCCACACUUAGGGAGGAGGAUUCGUUUGAGCUGGAACUUAAAAAAAAUAAGUGAAGUCUGCUUGGGGAGAAGAGCACUCUUGACAGAGGGAAGAGCUUGUGAGAAGACAGGCGUGAAAAGGCAGGGAAUGUUCUAGAAGCAAGAAGUGAUGGCAAAGAUAGAAUGUCAUGGGAACAUGAGGGACAUAAGUUGAGGCAGAUUCCAAAGGGUCUGAUACCUCAUAGUAAGGACUGGAGAUUUAUUCUGGAAGCACGCAGAGUCAUCAGGGAUGUUUAACAAGCAAGGAAGUCAGCAAUACCUGGAAAGCAUAUGUCGGUAGACUCCCUCUCAGACAGACUUACCCACUGCGAUCAUGUUCCUUGUUUUGGAAAAAGAAGGCUGACGGUGGAGUGGAAGAUAUUCUGUGCAUGGAGACCAUGGCAAGAAGGAGGGCACUCCUGAGUAUCGGAUGAGAGAUGAGGAAAGUCUAACUGAUGCACAUGGCCAUGGGAGCCCUAUCAGGAGAUAUUUUGAUGAUAAAAUGAAUAGGAUUCAGUCUGGUUAAAUUUAGUUGUGAAGGUGAAGGAGGGAUUAAGGAAGGUUCUGAUUUCCAACUUAGGGAAUGAAGGAUGGCCAGUGUCACAGAUGGGACACAAGAGGAGCACUUUGGUCAGGUGGAAGGGAGUGAAAGGCAAGCGAAGGGAAGAUGAGCUUGUCUGGAACCUGUCAAGUUUGGGAGGUGUCCACAAGCAUCCUGGUCAAUGGCUCACCAGAUGCAAUGUCCAGUCUACUCCAGACCUGAGGAAUCAGAAUGUCUGGCAAAAACAGCCUUCUGGAAUAGUGGAAAAAUACUCACCUCUCCUGAACAUUUGCUCCACUGCGGUUGCCAAAUUAUCUAACAGCCACUCUCCAGUUUGACAGCAUGUGCCUUUUAAUUCAAGAAUCUUCCAGGGCUUUGGACGCUCAUCACCUCUGUGGAAUUCCAUAGAAGAGGAGGCAAGGGCAGACGUGAAGUUAUAAGGAGAGCAGAGCUGUGUGGCAGGGCCUUAGCAGCCCUGCUCUCAACCAUGGGGACAGUCUUUUAUCUCCAGUUGAGAGACUCAUUUUUCUUUCCGUCGCCCCACCCCACACUCACCACCCCAUCCCUGCUUUUUGUUAGUGAUAAAUCCCUCUCUUUCACUCUGCCAACCCCCCACCAUUCAGACUCUUUAAGACGGUGCUGGGAACAAGGGAAGGUCCUUCCACUCCCAAGGCACCGUGAUAUCAGAAGUCCCAUCCUUCUCUUUUGCUCUUUCUUGACCUCAUUCAUGUAUUCAUGACGUGGGAUAUUAAUGGGUUCGUAUGAGGACUGGGUGAAAAGAUGUCCUUCCUCUUCUAACUGGAAGAAGAAAUGCAACGAGUCUUCCAUGGAUACUUCUCAUCUAAUAGUUCCCUUCCAUAACCCAUUUAGCACCUGAUACAUCUUUGCUUAUUUAUAAAUAAAUAGGAAUUAUGUUGAUUCAGUUCCUUCCCAUUGAAGCCCAUUCUGAGCAAGGUGCUGUGGGUAGGUGUUGGGCUGUGGCCCAAAGAUGAGAUUAUGAUGUGUGGAGGAACUUACAGUCUAGUUGAAGAAUGCAGGUGGAAGUAAAUAGACACAUUUCAAGGAGAAUUACAAGGCUCAGCAGGUCACUACAAUAAGGGAAUACCAUAUAUGGUUGGGGGACUCAGGAAAAAUUUUCUUUAAAGAGAUGGGUAUUGAAAUGGCUUUUAGGGGACAAAAACAAUAUUAAAAGAUUGAGACUGGGGAGAGGACAAUGCAGAUAGAACAAUGAAGAUAUACAGAGAACAGAAAGCAGCCCACGUUGGCUCAAGUUCAAAGCAGAAGUGGGGGGAUCAGACGGAAAAAAUGGCUACACUAUUGGCUGGAAUUUUAUAGCGGCGGUCUUGACUGCGGAUGAAAAUUUCUACGUCAGUCUAAGGGUGAAGAGCUGCCUGGAAACAGAGCAGGGCCAAGAACAGAGCUACCAUUGGGAAAACCAAUCUGGCAAUAGUGUGUAGAAGAAACUAGAAUAAUGAAACUUUUAAGUGGAGUAAGGGGGGAGUGAUUUUAUAGAUGAAAGAGUCAUGACCCAGAAACGUUGCCAUCUUUGGGCUCCAUUGGCCCAAUAAUUGAUUUCCAAGGCCCUUAAGUCACUUAAGUCUUGAUGUCAGUGCAACCAGAGCAGAAGCAUCUACGACCAACUGGAAAACUCAGCAGUAACAUCCCUGACCUACAGCAAAGCAUUCAUACUGUGGUGGAAUAGAUGCAAGGGGGUCCUUGGGGAGAGCUAUUGCAGGGGUAUCUCCCACAUUACUGAAUGAAUAUCAACGUCCUUUGCCCUUGUGCAGACUCCGUUCCACGUGUUCCAAAUCUAUUUCCAAGAAAAGCUUUUUUACUAAGAUAUUAAAGCUUACAUUUCAAAGAGAAGAAGAAAGAGAAAGAAUCAGGAUUGAUCUAACACACACCCCUGGGCAAUGGACCCAAACAUGCGUCUAUCCACACAGAGAAACAAGACCUGUGGGGCUGAGCAUGUAUACUUCCCAACGGGGCAAUGAUCCUGUUCAGUUAGAAUGGCCACUAGAAAUUGCUGGAGCAUUGUCUGUCAAAGGAGUGGUGCUUGCCCACUGGUUACAGUUGCAGAGAUAGCCCAGGGCCACCCGAUGUCUUUCAAACUACAUGUCAAGCAAAGGUGCUGGAGGAUGGAAGUUCUCGAAGCGAUCCAGACGUUGAGGAUGCAUUUUCUUUUGGGGUACUCUGUCAUUUACGAACAUUUCUACUCCUGGUUGUUAAUGUUGAGUUAACCAUGAAAGCUACAUAGCUAACAAAUGCCUCCAAUUGAUGCCUGAAUACCAUUUGGAUUA